CUCGUCCAGGUGCCUUCGCACCAAGGCAAGUUCUCCCUGAAGCUCCCGCCCCGAGGGCACCUGGGGUGCAGGCUCAGUGUGCUCCGGGCCUCUGUGGCCUGCCAGCUGGUGGCCCCGGCCCUCCCCACACUCCCUGUCCUCAGCACAGGAGGAGCCCGUGGCAGCAGCCGGUCCACGUGGGAACGGGCAGGAGAACGAGGCCAUCCGGGAGCCUGUGGAGCCAUGACUUCACGCCCCCCGGAGCUGGCGGUAGACGGGGGCGUCUCCUGUCACCUCUAGCUCUGCCUCGCCUCCUCAGCUGCUGGAUAUUCCCCCACUUGUCCCGUCAUCGUAAUCCCCACCGAGGGCCUGAGCGAUCACGCCUGCUGACCCUCCGAGGUCUGUUCUGAGGGCAGAAGGGCGUUUCUGUGGCCCAAGGCGAGGCUCCGCGUGGCUUAGGAUAGCCUCCCUGAGACCCCUGGAGGACAAACACGCUGGCCCUUGCUCUUACUUGAUCUUACAUAGUGUCCAUCAGAACCGAACGAAGUGGAUCGUUUCUUACAUUUUUCUUUUGUAAGGUUCCUUUUGUCCUCUUGGUGGGGACUAGAUGCAAGGCCAUUCCCUGCUCCUUCACCACAUUGCAGCAAGGCCACCUGGGCACGGUGCACGCCUGGACCUCGGAGGGCACCGUCAGCACAGAACGCCCGCCCUGCGGCUCCUCCUCUCCCCCGUGCUACUGAAUACCUAGUUGGUGAGAGACGAUGGAGCCACAUGGUAGACCAUGCCUACCGCUCACAUAGGACCCACCACUGACACCCCGAGGCGGCUCUUCAUCACCGCCCACCCCCUCCGGCUUCUGGCUUCUCCACUUUUCUCCACUUUGCACUAGGUGAGUUCUGAGCUGUGUGGGCAGCCAUACAUCACCUCCAGCGAUUCUGGGGCUGCCAAGGGUAAGUCAUGAGUGCUCGCCUCUUGUCCUCAGGUUAUCAUGGUUGUCCAGAUACAGACACAUGAGACGUGCAGGCGCAGGGCUGACCCACCCAGAGGGGUCCGGCUGGGACGUGGGCUGCUGGCAUUCUCUGGGCUUUACACCUGGGAUUUCUGCAGUAUUGGACUUUCCUCAUUCCCUCUUCUCCAGGGACCAGCCCUUCACCCCUGCAGCCCCGAGGCAGUUACUCACAGCCACCUUUUACUGUCACAUUUUUUGAUUAGGAAAAUAAACGCAGCCCCACCAGCUCCCAGCCUCAACCUGCAUUUGACCCACCCACCACCAGGCAGAGUCCCGUGUCCACCGCGCAGUCAGCACUGGGAGUUGCUGCAUGCAGGUCAGUGCCCCUCCCUCCAUGGUGGUCCAGCAGAGGACGGCUGGCCGCCAAGGUCUGAGUGAGCAGUCAGAGGCUCUGGGUAAGCCACCGCCUGUGACUCGUGACCAUGCUUCCCGUGUGGCCACGCUGUCUCAUGAAGUGCUUUGUGCUUUCUGCCUUCAGGC
rnacentral:lncRNA from 1 species